AGAGUUUGAUCCUGGCUCAGGAUGAACGCUGGCGGCGUGCUUAACACAUGCAAGUCGAACGCACCUUCGGGUGAGUGGCGGACGGGUGAGUAACGCGUGGGAAUCUGCCCUUAGGAGGGGGAUAACGGCUGGAAACGGCCGCUAAUACCCCAUAUGCCGAGAGGUGAAACGAAUUUCGCCUGAGGAUGAGCCCGCGUCUGAUUAGCUAGUUGGUGGGGUAAGAGCCCACCAAGGCGACGAUCAGUAGCUGGUCUGAGAGGAUGAUCAGCCACACUGGGACUGAGACACGGCCCAGACUCCUACGGGAGGCAGCAGUGGGGAAUUUUCCGCAAUGGGCGAAAGCCUGACGGAGCAACGCCGCGUGAGGGAUGAAGGCCUCUGGGCUGUAAACCUCUUUUCUCAAGGAAGAAGACAUGACGGUACUUGAGGAAUAAGCCACGGCUAAUUCCGUGCCAGCAGCCGCGGUAAUACGGGAGUGGCAAGCGUUAUCCGGAAUUAUUGGGCGUAAAGCGUCCGCAGGCGGCUCUGUAAGUCUGUUGUUAAAGCGUGGAGCUCAACUCCAUUUCAGCAAUGGAAACUACAGGGCUUGAGUGUGGUAGGGGCAGAGGGAAUUCCCGGUGUAGCGGUGAAAUGCGUAGAUAUCGGGAAGAACACCAGUGGCGAAGGCGCUCUGCUGGGCCAUAACUGACGCUCAUGGACGAAAGCCAGGGGAGCGAAAGGGAUUAGAUACCCCUGUAGUCCUGGCCGUAAACGAUGAACACUAGGUGUCGGGGGAAUCGACCCCCUCGGUGUCGUAGCCAACGCGUUAAGUGUUCCGCCUGGGGAGUACGCACGCAAGUGUGAAACUCAAAGGAAUUGACGGGGGCCCGCACAAGCGGUGGAGUAUGUGGUUUAAUUCGAUGCAACGCGAAGAACCUUACCAGGGUUUGACAUCCUGCGAAUCCCUUGGAAACUUGGGAGUGCCUUCGGGAGCGCAGAGACAGGUGGUGCAUGGCUGUCGUCAGCUCGUGUCGUGAGAUGUUGGGUUAAGUCCCGCAACGAGCGCAACCCACGUCUUUAGUUGCCAGCAUUCAGUUGGGCACUCUAGAGAGACCGCCGGUGAUAAACCGGAGGAAGGUGUGGAUGACGUCAAGUCAUCAUGCCCCUUACAUCCUGGGCUACACACGUACUACAAUGCUACGGACAGAGGGCAGCAAGCUCGCGAGAGUUAGCAAAUCCCAUAAACCGUGGCUCAGUUCAGAUCGUAGGCUGCAACUCGCCUACGUGAAGGAGGAAUCGCUAGUAAUCGCAGGUCAGCAUACUGCGGUGAAUACGUUCCCGGGCCUUGUACACACCGCCCGUCACACCAUGGUAGUUGGCCAUGCCCGAAGUCGUUACUCCAACCCUUGUGGAGGAGGACGCCGAAGGUGGGGCUGAUGACUGGGGUGAAGUCGAAACAAGGUA
rnacentral:rRNA from 1 species